AGUUUGAUCCUGGCUCAGGAUGAACGCUAGCGGCAGGCUUAACACAUGCAAGUCGAGGGGCAGCGCGGGGCGGCAACGUCCUGGCGGCGACCGGCGGAAGGGUGCGUAACGCGUGAGCGACAUGCCCGUUGCCCGUGGACAACCGGUGGAAACGCCGACUAAUCCACGAUGGGACGAGUUGCUGCAUGGCAGCUCGUUGAAAGUUACGGCGGCGACGGAUUGGCUCGCGUCCGAUUAGCUGGUUGGCGGGGUAACGGCCCACCAAGGCGACGAUGCGUAGGGGUUCUGAGAGGAAGGUCCCCCACACUGGUACUGAGACACGGACCAGACUCCUACGGGAGGCAGCAGUGAGGAAUAUUGGUCAAUGGGCGCAGGCCUGAACCAGCCAAGUCGCGUGAGGGAAGACGGUCCUACGGAUUGUAAACCUCUUUUGUCGGGGAGUAACGUGCGGGACGCGUCCCGUAUUGAGAGUACCCGAAGAAAAAGCAUCGGCUAACUCCGUGCCAGCAGCCGCGGUAAUACGGAGGAUGCGAGCGUUAUCCGGAUUUAUUGGGUUUAAAGGGUGCGCAGGCGGCGCGCCAAGUCAGCGGUCAAAGUUCCGGGCUCAACCCGGUGUCGCCGUUGAAACUGGCGUGCUCGAGUGCGUGCGAGGAAGGCGGAAUGCGUUGUGUAGCGGUGAAAUGCAUAGAUAUGACGCAGAACUCCGAUUGCGAAGGCAGCUUUCCAGCGCGCUACUGACGCUGAGGCACGAAAGCGUGGGGAUCGAACAGGAUUAGAUACCCUGGUAGUCCACGCAGUAAACGAUG
rnacentral:rRNA from 1 species